ensembl:lncRNA
CUGGAACGAGGGCAGAGGGAUGGGAGCUGGGAGCAUGGAGGGCACCCUUGAUUCACCCCAGGAUGAACCAAGGCCAAGGGGACAUGGGACGGAGUGGAAGCCCCAGGUGGGAAGUGGCCAGGCUAGACUGGGGCUCAGAAGCCACCCCAAGGCAUCCACAGGAGUGAAUGCAGUGCCAGCUCUCUGUGCAUUUAGGCUGUUGAGAAAGACUCUUACGACCUAGGUUCUCAUGAACAAGUGGGUUAAUAAUUGUCCCCAAGCCGCAGGGUUGCUAUGGGGCUUCCACUGAGUGACAAGUCCUCCGGUGCACGGUGUGGGUGAUGGAUGUGGCCAUCCUCACUGAUGGUUCCCUUUCUGCUCCUUCAGUGAUGAUGGGGGUGUGAUUUCCAGACACUCCCUGCAGAGGCAGUGCCAUCGACCCUGGGACCCUGGAAGCAGUUUGGGAAAGAAGGCUCUGCCCAACUCCCUUGUAGAUGAGGGUGGCAGCUCAUCUACACAGAGCACAGAGGAGCUCGUCCCAGACUUGGCCAUCUCCCCAGAUGUCUGGCCAUUUCCAAGCUGGUUGUGCGUCAGAAUCACCACGGUUCUCUGGAGACACGGACGCCUGGCCCCAGGCCCCACAGUGCUGCUUCACAGGCCCAAGGUAGGACCUGGGCGCCUGCAGGUAAAAAGUCCCGCAGGUCCAGCGGCCCCAGCCCCUACACUUGGCCCCGGUUCUGCCCCAGGUCCAAGGAGAGGCAUCCACGGCCCAUGUGGAGGCAGCGCCGUGGGUUCACUCCCCGCCUGGCUCCCGCAGGAUCUACGAGGGCCCCAGGGCAGAGUGGAGAGGACAUGCCCGCCUUGGGAGACAGGAGCUGGGAGAUGUGAUGUCCCCGUUGGGAGGCACAAGCUGCUAAUUGCUUUGUUUCGCGUUACCAACAUCUGCGGGGAGAGAGCAGAUGCCGCCACUUGCCCAGCCUGCUGUCCCCAGAGGUGACCACUCUGUGGCGUCCAGGGCUCUUGGCACAGAACCUGUCAGACCACAGCCAAGCACCCUGUCCGGCUGCCCCCAUGUCCUUGCUGCUAAGACAGUCGCGUCCACACGCUGCCCUGAGAAUGGGCACUGUGGUGACUGCCACUCCUUCCUGCAGCAGCACCAGGAGCAUACUUCUCUCUCCUUCUCGAAGAUUCCAGGCGGAACCUCUCAGCUCGGCGCCACAAACUGAACGGCUCCACCAAGGUUUCUCUCUCUAAUUUUAAGGGCACCUUUCCCCCCAAGCUGCAGCUCUGGGCUCUCAGAGGAUGCUGGAGGGCCAGAGCACGCAGGGGCGAGGGGUGGGGGAACGACUAGGGUCUCCCUUACAGAACACCUUGAAUGUUUCUUUUUAAGUGGGUGGGUGGGUUCUCAGAUGCAGAGAAAACCCACAUCUUGGUUCAGUGGCCGUCCUGUGUCCCUUGUAGGAAGAGGAAGUGCCUUGUCUGCUGAGAGGAGCUCCAUUCAGCCUCUGAGCCUCAGUUUCCCUGUUUGUGAAACCAAGAACUAACCCGCCUGCAACUGCAUCAUAGGGUUUUCUCAAGAGGAUCAAAUUUAAUCAGGUUCAACAAGCUGUGUAUUAAUACAACAUUUAAACUGCUUCCCAAAUGACUGGUGCUGAGGGAAUACACGCGUGCAUAAAAUGAGAUGUCGUUCUCAGAAGAAAUGGAAAAUGCAGAGGAAGGCACACACACAUCAGCAAGCAGGAUGCAGGGCUGAAUUAGUGAUCAUGGUUGUCCCCAUGGCAACCACGGCCCCAGGACCCCUGUCUCCAUAGCAGACUGUGCCUUGCUGGCCUGUGCCCACCCUGCCCCCAAAUGAUGAGGGUCCAUCACAUGCCCACAAAGGGGAGAACCCAGCCCGUCCUGUUGGGAGUGGAGACGGUGACCCCUGGGCACAGGGGCUAUGUCUUUUGAACCUCCUGGUGCUUCAAGCCCAGCAGAGUACCUGGCACAAGCUCAAC